AGAAUCAACGCUGGCGGCGUGCCUAACACAUGCAAGUCGAACGAGAAAGUGGAGCAAUCCACAAGUAAAGUGGCGCACGGGUGAGUAACACGUGACUAACCUACCCUUGAGUGGGGGAUAACCUAGGGAAACCUGGGCUAAUACCGCAUAAUACCUUCGGGUCAAAGGAGCAAUUCGCUUAAGGAGGGGGUCGCGGCCGAUUAGUUAGUUGGCGGGGUAAUGGCCCACCAAGACUGUGAUCGGUAUCC
rnacentral:rRNA from 1 species